rnacentral:rRNA from 1 species
GACGAACGCUGGCGGCGUGCUUAACACAUGCAAGUCGAACGCGCCUGUCCUCUGGGUUUCUGGGGGGUGGGUGAGUGGCGAACGGGUGAGUAACACGUGAGUAACCUGCCCCCUUCUUCGGGAUAACGGUCUGAAAGGGCUGCUAAUACCGGGUAUUCACUGGUCUCCGCAUGGGGUCUGGUGGAAAGGUUUUUUUCUGGUGGGGGAUGGGCUCGCGGCCUAUCAGCUUGUUGGUGGGGUGAUGGCCCACCAAGGCUUUGACGGGUAGCCGGCCUGAGAGGGUGACCGGUCACAUUGGGACUGAGAUACGGCCGAGACUCCUACGGGAGGCAGAAGUGGGGAAUAUUGCACAAUGGGCGCAAGCCUGAUGCAGCGACGCCGCGUGAGGGAUGGAGGCCUUCGGGUUGUGAACCUCUUUCGCCCGUGGUCAAGCCGCGACGUGGGUCGUGGUGAGGGUAGUGGGUAAAGAAGCGCCGGCUAACUACGUG